AUGCACCUUUUCCCUUAUCUCCAUCAUUUUCAUCAUUCACUCCCUCAAAUUUUUUGCAACCUCUACCAUACACUCACCUUCAUUCAACUUCAAUCCUCAAUCAUCAUCAACCUACACCUUCUCCAUACAUCAACGAUUCUGCGACCGAAAUUUCUUCAUCUGCAACUGCAUCACACGCGUCUUCAAUCUUCAUCAUUGAUAUGUGAAUCUCAGGCUUCCCUCUCUUGA